rnacentral:lncRNA from 1 species
AUUCAUCCAUUCCAUUCAUUCAUGGCUAUGAAAGCAAGUAGACAUGCCAAAACGCUCGUAAACACGUAGCACGUAGCACUUAGCAUGCUCGACUAGAUGCAAGAGCCUAUCAAAGCAAUUAAACAUGUAGCAACAAAAGCAAGCAACCAAGGGGAAGGGGAAAUGGACAGAUGCUCUCCGAGCCCUAUCUAUUACAAGCCAAGAGGUGUACACAUACCCCAUAAAAGCAUAAAGGGGAAAGGGAAAUGGACCAGAUGCUCUCGAGCCCUAUCUAUUACAAGCCAAGAGGUGUACACAUACCCCCAUAUGGACAGAUGCUCUCCGAGCCCUAUCUAUUACAAGCCAAGAGGUGUACACAUACCCCAUAAAAGCAUAAAGGGGAAAGGGAAAUGGACCAGAUGCUCUUCGAGCCCUAUCUAUUACAAGCCAAGAGGUGUACACAUACCCCAUAAA